rnacentral:rRNA from 1 species
UGGGGAAUAUUGCACAAUGGGCGAAAGCCUGAUGCAGCAACGCCGCGUGAGUGAUGAAGGUCUUCGGAUUGUAAAGCUCUGUCUUUUGGGACGAUAAUGACGGUACCAAAGGAGGAAGCCACGGCUAACUACGUGCCAGCAGCCGCGGUAAUACGUAGGUGGCGAGCGUUGUCCGGAUUUACUGGGCGUAAAGGGUGCGUAGGCGGAUGUUUAAGUGAGAUGUGAAAUACC